rnacentral:rRNA from 1 species
AGCACGGACUUCGGUCUGGUGGCGAGUGGCGAACGGGUGAGUAAUAUAUCGGAACGUAUCCAAUAAUGGGGGAUAACUAAUCGAAAGGUUGGCUAAUACCGCAUACGCCCUACGGGUGAAAGCAGGGGAUCUUCGGACCUUGCGUUAUUAGAGCAGCCGAUAUCUGAUUAGGUAGUUGGUGGGGUAAAGGCUCACCAAGGCGACGAUCCGUAGCUGGUCUGAGAGGAUGGACAGCCACACUGGGACUGAGAUACGGCCCAGACUCC